rnacentral:rRNA from 1 species
GUUAGGAAUAUUGGACAAUGGGCGCAAGCCUGAUCCAGCCAUGCCGCGUGAGUGAUGAAGGCCUUCGGGUUGUAAAGCUCUUUAGCCGAUGAUUAUAAUGACUGUAGUCGGAAAAUAAGCCCCGGCUAACUUCGUGCCAGCAGCCGCGGUAAUACGAAGGGGGCGAGCGUUAUUCGGAAUCACUGGGCGUAAAGCGUGCGUAGGCGGCUUUGCAAGUUGGGAGUGCAAGCCCAGGGCUCAACCGUGGAAUUGCUCUCAAAACUGCAAGGCUCGAAUUCGGGAGAGGAUAGCGGAAUUGUCAGUGUAGCAGUGAAAUGCGUAGAUAUUGACAGGAACACCAGUGGCGUAAGCGGCUAUCUGGACCGAUAUUGACGCUGAGGCACGAAAGCGUGGGGAUCAAACAGGAUUAGAUACCCGAGUAGUCC